ACUCAUUUCAGAAUUCUCCUCAAGUAUCUUAAUUCAAGCACACAACCCUUUGAACUCUCAAACCAUUCAACCUUCUUCUUCCGCCUCCGUGCACGGUGGUCGAAUCUCUAAACCCUAAUCUUCUUACCACCUCGAUCUUUCUUUUGGGGCCUUUAUUCUUUGAUCUUUCAUGUCUCUUGGUAGGACUUCAGAGUUCUCCUCUCUUCGUCUACCCCACGAAGGAUCUGCGGUUGAGGAUCACGGAGCAGUGGAAUCAUAGGAGGGUCGCCGAAGCCAUGAGUAGCUUCUACAUCUCAUUCCAAACCCUUGGACCAUUCUGUUGCCGAGGCUGCUUCUGCCUAUUAUCAUCAUCCGCUUCGUUUCCUUCUCUUUCUGCUUCGGUUCUUCUGCUUUCUAUAGGGUUUUCGAGAAUGCUAUCAUUCGUAAGGCUUUGCACAACCUUCAGGAGCAUCUAUCGAGCUGCUAUUCACGACCUUCUCGAAGGGUGGACUUGGGCUUUCCAAAAUGACGUCUAGGAAAAUUUCAGAUUACACCCGCUUGCCGCUCUUGUUCUAGCCCUCGCUUACGAUGUCGGUGAAUUCUACGACCCUUGUGAUCCAGGUGAGGAAAGUUUAUGUCUGUAUGGACAUCCUAAUGAAACAUGGGAAGUGGUUCUUCUGGUAGGAAGGGGUGGAAGUGGUUCUUCUAGUAGGAAGGGGUGGAAGUGGUUCUUCUAGUAGGAAGGGGUUCCACCGGAGCUUCGAGAGCCUACACUUGGAAUUAAUUUUGCAAUAGAUGGACAUAAAAGGAUUGGUUAUCUCUUGUUGUUGUACAUAGUGAUUCCUGGUUGCUCUAUGUGGCUUUCUAUUUUGGAGCAAGGCUUGACUGAAACAAAAGAGGCAAUGGCAAGCUUAAUGGUGGAGUCCGCCACCCAAAUGGUAGAGAGAUGGGCUAACCUCGUUAUCUCCGGCAACCCUCAAAUCGAAGUCGAGCAAGAGAUAACUUCCACCGCCGGCAAAAUUAUUGCCAAAACCAGCUUCAGAAUCCAUCACGAAAGCGGUCGACAAAGUCUUCAACAAACUCUGCCAACUCCAAAUCACUCUAUUCAAAACCAACUGCCUUGUCGGCGUCCCCUUCAUCGGGCUUUUAAACGCCGCCAAGGCUCGGGAGGCCAAACUUCUCGCGGAGGAGAUUGAUGAAUUGUUUUGGUCGGUGAUUACGGAGAGGAGAGAAAAUUCAGUGGCGGAGAGUAGGGGUGAGCAUGGUGGGCCGAAAAAUCGAAACGAACGACCAAAAUCGAACGACCGAAGUCGGGCGGUCAGAAUAGUAUAAUCGGCUGUUGGGUUUCGGUUCUAGAAACUCAAAAAACCGAUAGGUUAGUAGGUCGAUUUUGAACCGAGAGGUUGGUCGGUCGGGUUUGAAUCGACUCAUGUAUUUUUUUUAAUAAUUUAUAUAAUAUAUUAUAUAAUUAUAA